rnacentral:rRNA from 1 species
AAAAUCUCAACUUUAUUAGAAGAGACGCAUUUAUUAGAUAAAAAGCCAGUUCAUGCUUUUACAGUAUGAAAAUUGGUGAUUUAUAAUAACUUAGCAAAUCGCAAAGUGAAAACAGGCGAUAAAUCAUUCAAGUUUCUGACCUAUCAGCUUUCGACGGUAUGGUAUUGGCUUACCGUGGCAGUGACGGUUAACGGGGGAUUAGGGUUCGAUUCCGGAGAGGGAGCCUGAGAAACGGCUACCACAUCUAAGGAAGGCAGCAGGCGCGCAAAUUACCCAAUUCUAACAGUUUGAGAGAGGUAGUAACAAGAAAUAACAAUACAAGGCAGUUAAAAUGCUUUGUAAUUGGAAUGAUAGAAAUUUAAACCCUUUUUAAAGUAUCAAUUGGAGGGCAAGUCUGGUGCCAGCAGCCGCGGUAAUUCCAGCUCCAAUAGCGUAUAUUAAAAUUGUUGCAGUUAAAAAGCUCGUAGUUGAAGUUCUGCUGAAAGUAACCGGUCUGCUUUUAAUAAAAGUGGUAUCUUGGUAUGUAUUUAGCAAUGAUGUCCUUUGAAAUGUUUUUUACUUUAUUGUAAA